rnacentral:rRNA from 1 species
GACUAAGCGUACACGGUGGAUGCCCUGGCAGUCAGAGGCGAUGAAGGACGUGCUAAUCUGCGAUAAGCGUCGGUAAGGUGAUAUGAACCGUUAUAACCGGCGAUUUCCGAAUGGGGAAACCCAGUGUGUUUCGACACACUAUCAUUAACUGAAUCCAUAGGUUAAUGAGGCGAACCGGGGGAACUGAAACAUCUAAGUACCCCGAGGAAAAGAAAUCAACCGAGAUUCCCCCAGUAGCGGCGAGCGAACGGGGAGCAGCCCAGAGCCUGAAUCAGUGUGUGUGUUAGUGGAAGCGUCUGGAAAGGCGCGCGAUACAGGGUGACAGCCCCGUACACAAAAAUGCACAUACUGUGAGCUCGAUGAGUAGGGCGGGACACGUGGUAUCCUGUCUGAAUAUGGGGGGACCAUCCUCCAAGGCUAAAUACUCCUGACUGACCGAUAGUGAACCAGUACCGUGAGGGAAAGGCGAAAAGAACCCCGGCGAGGGGAGUGAAAAAGAACCUGAAACCGUGUACGUACAAGCAGUGGGAGCACGCUUAGGCGUGUGACUGCGUACCUUUUGUAUAAUGGGUCAGCGACUUAUAUUCUGUAGCAAGGUUAACCGAAUAGGGGAGCCGAAGGGAAACCGAGUCUUAACUGGGCGUUAAGUUGCAGGGUAUAGACCCGAAACCCGGUGAUCUAGCCAUGGGCAGGUUGAAGGUUGGGUAACACUAACUGGAGGACCGAACCGACUAAUGUUGAAAAAUUAGCGGAUGACUUGUGGCUGGGGGUGAAAGGCCAAUCAAACCGGGAGAUAGCUGGUUCUCCCCGAAAGCUAUUUAGGUAGCGCCUCGUGAAUUCAUCUCCGGGGGUAGAGCACUGUUUCGGCAAGGGGGUCAUCCCGACUUACCAACCCGAUGCAAACUGCGAAUACCGGAGAAUGUUAUCACGGGAGACACACGGCGGGUGCUAACGUCCGUCGUGAAGAGGGAAACAACCCAGACCGCCAGCUAAGGUCCCAAAGUCAUGGUUAAGUGGGAAACGAUGUGGGAAGGCCCAGACAGCCAGGAUGUUGGCUUAGAAGCAGCCAUCAUUUAAAGAAAGCGUAAUAGCUCACUGGUCGAGUCGGCCUGCGCGGAAGAUGUAACGGGGCUAAACCAUGCACCGAAGCUGCGGCAGCGACGCUGAUGCGUUGUUGGGUAGGGGAGCGUUCUGUAAGCCUG